AGGCUCUUCUAGUUACUGCCACCUCAGAAUGCCCAACCUGUCAGCAACAGAGAGGAAUGCUGAGCUCCCUGUAUGGCAUUAUUCUUCAAGGAGACCAACCAGCCACUUGGCAAGCUGACUACAUCGAACACCUUCCAUCCUGGAAGGGCCAGUGAUAGGAACAGACGUCAAUUUGGGGUGUGAAUUUUCCUUUCCUGUCCAUAGAGUCCUCAGGCAGCAUCACUAUCCAAGGGUUUAUAGAGUGCCUGAUCUAAGGCAUGGGACCUAUACAACAUAGCAUUCAAACAGCCAACCCACUUCACAAUGAGGGAGGUGAGGAAAUGAGCCUACUACCAUGGGAUCCAUUAGUCAUAUGACAUACUGUAUCAUCCCGAAACUUCUGGAGUGGUAGAAUGUUCUAGAAUGGCCUACUGGAAGCACAGCUUAAAGUGACAGUUUGGAGCAGUACUCUGCAGAGAUCAAGGGUGCAGUGUGUCAACUGAAUCAGAGACCUCUAUGUGGCACUGUGUCUGAGAACCAAUGGGUGGAAGCAGGAGUAGCCUCACUUACCAUCAUGCCCAACAACGCACCAGGUGAUUUUGGGCUACUGGUCCUUGCAACUCUGGAUGCUGCAAGUUAGAGGUCCUCAUCCCCAGGAAGCAUACUCUCUUGAGAGGACCCAGCAAAGUUGCUAGUAAACUACAAGUUAUUGCUGCCACCUGGGCUAUUCGAAUUCCACGUGUCAUGGGAUCGGCAGGCAAGAAGUGGAAUCACUAACCUCAAACAGAAUUGCAUCAUACGGAAGCAAAGGUGCCAGGGAUGCUACCCCAAAGUCCACAGUGUCUGUGUAUGUGGUGCACACAAGUGAAGGCGUCCACUUACAUUCUCUACUCCAUCCGGGCACCUGGAUGUCAGCUACAAAUACUAAUUGGUAGAAUGCGUUGUGUACUUUCUCUUACUAAGCCUGAAGUUUUCUUUAAACUAAAUUUCAGUGAAAUUAAAAUCAGUGAAAGGGCUAGUUAAAAAGUGAAGCCUCAAAACAAAAUGUGGCAAUUACAGUUUAUUAAAGAAUUAACUUGGGCCAAUUAUCAUUUAAAACAUUAUGGAUGUAUUGCUAUGAACUAAAUAUGGCCCAGUUCCUUAAUACCCAGACAGUUCUAUGCUCUGCU